rnacentral:tRNA from 1 species
GCUGGCGCUCAGUGGUAGAGCACUCGCCUAGCACGUGUGAGACACUGGGCUCAAUUCUCAGCACUGCA